rnacentral:rRNA from 1 species
GACGAACCGUGCGAACGUUGUUCGGAAUCACUGGGCUUAAAGGGCGCGUAGGCGGGCGGCCGCGUCCGGGGUGAAAUCCCGCCGCUCAACGGCGGAACGGCCUCGGAUACGGGCGGCCUCGAGGGGGGUAGGGGCGUGCGGAACUCUGGGUGGAGCGGUGAAAUGCGUUGAUAUCCAGAGGAACUCCGGUGGCGAAGGCGGCACGCUGGGCCCCUUCUGACGCUGAGGCGCGAAAGCCAGGGGAGCGAACGGG